UACGGGGGGGGCAAGCGUUGUUCGGAAUUACUGGGCGUAAAGGGCGCGUAGGCGGUUUGCUAAGUUGAAUGUGAAAACUCUGGGCUUAACCCAGAGCCUGCAUUCAAUACUGGCAGGCUGGAGUUCUGGAGGGGAUAGCGGAAUUCCUGGUGUAGCGGUGAAAUGCGUAGAUAUCGGAAGGAACAUCAGUGGCGAAAGCGACUUCCUGGACCAGUACCGACGUUCAGGCACGAAAGCGUGGGGAGCAAACAGG
rnacentral:rRNA from 1 species